GGNGUCUUAAGGUGCUGUGGGAAGC
rnacentral:piRNA from 1 species